AGGGGGGUUCUUUCAAUUUUCGAGAUGGUAAAAUCCCCCGGCCCUCCACCCUGGGGGGGCCUUUUUCAAAACUUGGCAAGUCUAGGAGUCUUGGAAGGAGGAGGGGGAGAAUUUCCCGGGUGUGCGGUAAAAUGGGUAAAAGAUUCGGGAGAAAUACCGGGUGGCAGAGGGGCGGUCUCCCGGGACAAAACACUGACGUUAAGGGGGGGAAAGCGUGGGGGCGCAAACAGGAUAAAAAACCCUGGGUUGGCCCACCCCCGUAAAACAAAAGUCGACCAGGGAGGUUGGGGUCCUCGAGCGCGUUGGUUCUGGAGCUAACGCGUUAAGUCGCCCGCCUGGGGAGUACGGCCCGCAAGGUUAAAACUCAAAAGAAUUGACGGGGGCCCGCACAAGCGGUGGAGCAUGUGGUUUAAUUCGAUGCAACGCGAAGAACCUUACCUACUCUUGACAUCCAGAGAACUUUCCAGAGAUGGAUUGGUCCUUCGGGAACUCUGAGACAGGUGCUGCAUGGCUGUCGUCAGCUCGUGUUGUGAAAUGUUGGGUUAAGUCCCGCAACGAGCGCAACCCUUAUUCUUUGUUGCCAGCGGUUCGGCCGGGAACUCAAAGGAGACUGCCAGUGAUAAACUGGAGGAAGGUGGGGAUGACGUCAAGUCAUCAUGGCCCUUACGAGUAGGGCUACACACGUGCUACAAUGGCGCAUACAAAGAGAAGCGACCUCGCGAGAGCAAGCGGACCUCAUAAAGUGCGUCGUAGUCCGGAUUGGAGUCUGCAACUCGACUCCAUGAAGUCGGAAUCGCUUGUAAUCGUAGAUCAGAAUGCUACGGUGAAUACGUUCCCGGGCCUUGUACACACCGCCCGUCGCCCCAAGGAGUGGGUUGCAAAA
rnacentral:rRNA from 1 species